GGCGUGCCUAAUACAUGCAAGUUGAGCGAUGAAGAUUGGUGCUUGCACCAAUUUGAAGAGCAGCGAACGGGUGAGUAACGCGUGGGGAAUCUGCCUUUGAGCGGGGGACAACAUUUGGAAACGAAUGCUAAUACCGCAUAACAACUUUAAACACAAGUUUUAAGUUUGAAAGAUGCAAUUGCAUCACUCAAAGAUGAUCCCGCGUUGUAUUAGCUAGUUGGUGAGGUAAAGGCUCACCAAGGCGAUGAUACAUAGCCGACCUGAGAGGGUGAUCGGCCACAUUGGGACUGAGACACGGCCCAAACUCCUACGGGAGGCAGCAGUAGGGAAUCUUCGGCAAUGGACGAAAGUCUGACCGAGCAACGCCGCGUGAGUGAAGAAGGUUUUCGGAUCGUAAAACUCUGUUGGUAGAGAAGAACGUUGGUGAGAGUGGAAAGCUCAUCAAGUGACGGUAACUACCCAGAAAGGGACGGCUAACUACGUGCCAGCAGCCGCGGUAAUACGUAGGUCCCGAGCGUUGUCCGGAUUUAUUGGGCGUAAAGCGAGCGCAGGUGGUUUAUUAAGUCUGGUGUAAAAGGCAGUGGCUCAACCAUUGUAUGCAUUGGAAACUGGUAGACUUGAGUGCAGGAGAGGAGAGUGGAAUUCCAUGUGUAGCGGUGAAAUGCGUAGAUAUAUGGAGGAACACCGGUGGCGAAAGCGGCUCUCUGGCCUGUAACUGACACUGAGGCUCGAAAGCGUGGGGAGCAAACAGGAUUAGAUACCCUGGUAGUCCACGCCGUAAACGAUGAGUGCUAGAUGUAGGGAGCUAUAAGUUCUCUGUAUCGCAGCUAACGCAAUAAGCACUCCG
rnacentral:rRNA from 1 species